rnacentral:tRNA from 1 species
GGGCGGUUAGCCAAGUGGCCAAAGGCGGCUGACUGUAAAUCAGCUGGCGGAUGCCUUCGGAGGUUCGAAUCCUUCACCGCCCACCU